ACUUUUGACAAACCCCAGAAUCCCGGGGUAACUCUUCUUUCCCUAUCCCCAAACCUCAUGUUCCGAAAUACCUGUUCCGCCUCCCUCUUUCCACUCUCAUAUCUAUCUCACUGUCAUCGCUGUCUCCGGUAAAGAGGAGAUCAGUGAGACAACAACCACUAGCGCCAUCCCUUGGCCCUUCUCUCCUUUCUUCGAUGAAACCCCAAGCACGGAGGUCAAACGAGGUUAGAAAUUCAGGCUCGUAGUAAAGAUCAUGCUUAUUGUUUAUCAAACACGGAUCUUUACAGAUCCAUCCAGGAGAUUGGAUUCUGAAUAUUGCUGCUCAGAUUACUGCGGUAUCAUUGGUUUCCGGAUUGUUUCUUCUUAAGCGGUACCUGAACCUUUGCCAAGAUUUUAUUAAAUGUUAUGUCGUCGUGCUUCUUUAAAACACUUGUCUCAUUGUUGACACUCAAUUUUGACCGACCUAUAAUCCAUUUUUGGAUUGUUAUUUGAUUAAGUAGGUAUUUUACAACU